rnacentral:rRNA from 1 species
AUUUUCUUUAAAUCUAAAGAAUUUGGCGGUGAUUUAGUCUAGUCAGAGGAACCUGCUUUUAGAUCGAUAAAACACGUAAAAGUUUACUUAUUUUUGUUUUUAGUUUGUAUACCGUCAUUAGCAGAUAAUUUUGUAUAGAAUAAAAUUAUUUUAAUUAAUUAAAUUGUUGAAAUUAGAUCAAGGUGCAGCUUAUAAAUAAGUUAAAGUGGGUUACAAUAAGGUUUAAUUAGACGAAAUAAAGGUAGUUAGAGCUUUUAAGAAGGAGGAUUUGAUUGUAAUAUAAGUUUAAUAAGCUUAGGAGAUAUGAGCUCUAAAUUGUGUACACAUCGCC